UACGUAGGGUGCGAGCGUUAAUCGGAAUUACUGGGCGUAAAGCGUGCGCAGGCGGUGAUGUAAGACAGAUGUGAAAUCCCCGGGCUCAACCUGUGAACUGCAUUUGUGACUGCAUCGCUGGAGUGCGGCAGAGGGGGAUGGAAUUCCGCGUGUAGCAGUGAAAUGCGUAGAUAUGCGGAGGAACACCGAUGGCGAAGGCAAUCCCCUGGGCCUGCACUGACGCUCAUGCACGAAAGCGUGGGGAGCAAACAGG
rnacentral:rRNA from 1 species